rnacentral:lncRNA from 1 species
CUGCUGAAGCGGCUUUCCUUCUGCCAGAAUCUCAGGAACUCCUGGAUCUGCCUUUCCAGAACCAGCUUCUCUCUCCCUGCUCUGCCUUCAGACUGCCCUCUUUCUACCUCUCCCUCUAGAACUACAUCUCUUCUGGCUGGGUUUAUAGCUUGGGGCUGGGGGAGGCCCAGUGGGACUGGCUGAGUGGAGCCAGCCGUGUGACGGAGGCGGCCCUCUUCCAGUUGGGCACUGCCACCCUCUCGUGGUCCAAGCAGCACAUGAGCAGAACCAGGUGCUCAACACCAACAGCCGGUACCUGCAUGACAACAUCGUGGACUAUGCGCAGAGGCUGUCAGAGACCCUGCCGGAGCAGCUCUGUGUGUUCUAUUUCCUGAAUUCUGGGGGUGUUGGGCUCUUCAUUGGUGUGGAUCUGAUCAAAGAUGAGGCCACAAGGACACCAGCAACUGAAGAGGCUGCCUACUUGGUAUCAAGACAUGGAAGAGAAGGUGAGAAGUUGUGAAACGCUGAGGCUCCAGCCCUAAGCCAGCCCUGCUCUGCCUAAGUGUACUCCAGAAGAAACUCAUCUCAUCCAAAUACACGCUAUUGAGAAGGCGAGCCUGACCUCCCUCUUACAGAUAAAGUCAGCUUUCAGAGGCUCAGGGUGGGGGGGCCUGCCCGAGGCCAUAAUGCUACCCACCCCCUCCUCCUAACCACUGGUCUGUUGGAAUAACCCAGAUGUCUGCAUCCCCUCAAGUCAGUCAAUUUCCUUUCUGUCCACUGGGGGUGGAAUGGGGUAGGGUGGGAUACUUUAAAGUGCUCCUGCUUAAAUAAAUUA